rnacentral:rRNA from 1 species
UACGUAGGGGCCGAGCGUUGUCCGGAUUUAUUGGGCGUAAAGCGCUCGCAGGUGGUUCGUUGCGUCGUGCGUGAAAGACCCCGGCUCAACUGGGGAGGGUCGUGCGAUACGGGCGAACUGGAGGCCAGUAGGGGGAUGCGGAAUUCCGGGUGUAGUGGCGGAAUGCGUAGAGAUCCGGAGGAACACCAGCGGCGAAGGCGGCAUCCUGGACUGGUCCUGACACUCAUGAGCGAAAGCAUGGGGAGCGAACAGG